AUGGAGGAUGGAAGGGGGGACAACUUCCUGUUGGUGCGCCGGCUAUGCUCGUGGGUGUUCAUGGAGGAUGGAAGGUGGGACAGCAUUCUGUGGAUGCAGCAGGCAGUGCAGAUGUACCAUAUUCUGAAUUUUGAAUCUUGUCUCCUGAACUACUCCUCGCCGCCACCACUUCUACUACCGGUGGUAACCCUCGUCGCCACACCUGGAACCGGUUGUCCGUCAAUAGAAGGCGGUCUGUGUCCAUGCUCCGCUGAUCACCCAGUCACACCCUCUGUACGUGGAGAAUGCCUUUAUUCUUCUGUUUGA
rnacentral:rRNA from 1 species